rnacentral:lncRNA from 1 species
UCCCUGAGGUGAGGCUCAUACCAAACCUGGGGCUUUUUUUGCGUAUGGAGACCCAAGGGACCUGUAGGGAGUCCUGCUCAGGAUAUAAAAGCUUCCUCUUCCUUCCUGCCCUCUCAGGUCUCUUGAGUGUUCUCUGUGCAGGUUUCUAAAGGUCAGGAUGGUCUCCCCAUGGCAGCAACUGUGGCUAUUGGUGCUCUGGGCUCAGGGAGCCAUUGUGCUGACUCAGUCUCCAGCCUCCUUGUCCAAAUCUCCAGGAGAGAGAGUCAACCUCAGCUGCAAGAAUCCUCUGCAGAUAAUGUAUCCAGACCCAGUCUCCAGCCUCCCUGUCUGUGGCUCCAGGAGAGAGAGUGACCCUCAGCAGCUGGACCAGUUCCAGCAUUGACGAGUAGAUAGCCUGGUACCAGCAGGAACCAGGACACUCACCCAAACUCCUGAUCUAUGAAACUUCUUGUAUUUUGGGGGGAUCCUGGCCCAGUUCAGUGGCACUGGGUGUGGGGCAGAUUUCACUUUCACUCUCAGUCCUGUGCAGGCAGAGUUUGCUGCCAAUUACUACUCUUAGAAACAUAAUGAUGUCCAUCUCCCACAGUGCUGCUGCCUGGAACAAAAGCCUCCCCAGGCUGCUCAGCCCCUCAGCUCUGGGGAGUAGGUGCUUCCCUCCAAGCUACAGGCUCAGACAAUUUCUGGUCUGGGGAGGGGCUAGGCCUUUUUCAUCUAUUAGGAGCUGCUGUAUCACUUUCCUUGGGGGACAGAAAGAAAUUAGGUGAAUUGCAGUCUAAAGAGAAAAGAAAUAUUUUGGGUCUUACAUUCAAACCUUAGAUCAUCAAUCUGCCAGGCAUGCUAAUCAGUAAAAUUUGUUCUAUUGACAAAUCUCCCCAUUUCCAUCUUCCUACUGUGGGUCUGACCCAAUGAUAGAACCUCAAGGAGUUGGUUAAGGGUAAGGGAUUUUAAUGGUUUAUGGGGAAUAGGCAGGGCUGGCACCCCUGGAUGCUGCUCCCCAGUUUAAUACAGACAUUGGCUCACAAUCUCCUCUCCCAGCCAUAUGCUGAAGAGAGGACCAGCGCCUGGAUAUAGAGGGACAGCUUCUUCUUCAAAGUUCAUCCAGCAAUUCCCCUAUUUGGAGAGUUACCCAUUGGCAUCCAAUAAAGAUUACAUUUCUGUCUCCGUCA